rnacentral:misc_RNA from 1 species
GAUGAAGAACGUAGCGAAAUGCGAUACGUAAUGUGAAUUGCAGAAUUCAGUGAAUCAUCGAAUCUUUGAACGCAUAUUGCGCUCUCUGGUAUUCCGGAGAGCAUGCUUGUUUGAGUAUCAGUAAACACCUCAACUCCCCUUUCUUUUUUUGAAAUGGGAGCUGGACUUGAGUGAUCCCAACGCUUUUCUCACCGAAAAGUGGCGGGUUACUUGAAAUGCAGGUGCAGCUGGACUUUUCUCUGAGCUAAAAGCAUAUCUAUUUAGUCUGCCUAAAAAACAGAUUAUUACCUUUGCUGCAGCUAACAUAAAGGAGAUUAGUUCUUGUGCUGACUGAUGCAGGAUUCACAGAGACAGCUUCGGUUGGCCUUUGUAAACUCGAUCUCAAAUCAAGUAAGACUACCCGCUGAACUUAAGCAUAUCAAUAAGCGGAGGA